AGUUUUGCACUUCUCCACAGCAGAAGUCUCAUCAGAUACAUUUACCUGCUUCCACCGCACAUUGCCCCAGUAGCCAACCUUUGAAAUCAUAGCAAGAACAAUUUGGUGGGUCUCCAGGCAUUCCGGUAGUAAGGAGAAAGAUGAGGAAGGCUGUUUUCUCUAGGACUGACUGCCUCUGUCCCUUCCCAGGGAAGCUGCCCCAGCAGUCCUUCUUCCAUCGUCUGGUGAUGAACAGGUACAGCAGAGGAGACAGCAAAGGACACAUCAUAUGAAAACACCAUGGAUGCUUCUCUGCAGUCCUGUGCCUGCUGAAAUUAUUAAGGUCCAUUUGCUGAGGGGUAUCCAGGGGGUCUUCAUAUUCUUUCUGGCCAAGGCGAUUUGUUUGGUCUCCUUUUAUCUUGGUCCACAAAGAGCUAUCCUACAUCAAAUCAAUAUAUCAAGUGGAAUCUGGCUGUGUUUUGAAAUGAUGCUAGGCAUGCUUUGGGUGUCAGGUAGUUUGGCAGUAAAUAUUUCACUACAGUAAUCGUCUUUUCCACAAAUUUUAUAUAAGACCUCGUUCCUCUGCUAGCACAGGCCUCAGUAACUGGCUGUUUCCAUCAACUAUUGCAGUUACAGUGCUCUAUCAAUCUUCUGACAUAGCUCAAUCCAAAUGAUUUGUUUCAAAGCUCAACAUAAAAUUUCAGUUAAAUGUAACCAUCCAAAAAGCCUGAAGAACCUCUCUGGGCUAUUAGUUACUCUGAUCUCUCAGGAAAACCACAGAGAGGAUCAGAUUGCUCAAGCUAAUUAGAAUUAAUUGUAAAAAUUCACUCCCCAGUCAGGCACGGCAGGUUUGGAGAGAAUACCCAUUUUUUCAUAUCACAGGUAUCGCACCCCUGUUGUAAAGACAAACUGUGACGCAAGUGUAAAUAGGGAGCGAUUCUAGCGCUCUGUGCCGUGCCGAAAGGGAAGGGAUUUCAAGCAGCAGCCUGUUAGGGGCAGGAGGCGGGGAGCCGGGGUGCACUACCCUCUAGUGUGCACCCACAGCAGCGCACACUGCACAGCAUCUCGGCUGGCAUCACUUACACAGGGCUACGCACAGAGGCACCA